rnacentral:rRNA from 1 species
UCCUACGGGAGGCAGCAGUAGGGAAUCUUCCACAAUGGGCGAAAGCCUGAUGGAGCGACACCGCGUGAAGGAUGAAGGCCUAUGGGUCGUAAACUUCUUUUAUAGGGGAAGAACAAAUGACGGUAUCCUAUGAAUAAGCACCGGCUAAUCUCGUGCCAGCAGCCGCGGUAAUA